rnacentral:rRNA from 1 species
GAUCCUGGCUCAGGAUGAACGCUAGCGGCAGGCUUAACACAUGCAAGUCGGAGGGGCAGCACGAGGUAGCAAUACUUUGGUGGCGACCGGCGCACGGGUGCGUAACGCGUAUGCAACCUACCUUUAACAGGGGCAUAACACUGAGAAAUUGGUACUAAUUCCCCAUAACAUUCGAGAAGGCAUCUUCUUAGGGUUAAAACUCCGGUGGUUAAAGAUGGGCAUGCGUUGUAUUAGCUAGUUGGUGAGGUAACGG